rnacentral:rRNA from 1 species
UACGUAGGUGGCAAGCGUUGUCCGGAGUUAUUGGGCGUAAAGCGCGCGCAGGCGGUGCGGUAAGUCUCUGGUGAAAGCGCUCGGCUUAACUGGGCGAGGGCCGGGGAGACUGCCACGCUGGAGGGGAGCAGAGGCGAGUGGAAUUCCGGGUGUAGUGGUGAAAUGCGUAGAGAUCCGGAGGAACACCAGUGGCGAAGGCGGCUCGCUGGGCUCUACCUGACGCGGAGGCGCGAAAGCGUGGGGAGCGAACCGG